UCCACGCCGUAAACGAUGUCAACUAGACGUUGGGGGGUUUAACCCUUUAGUGUCGCAGCUAACGCAUUAAGUUGACCGCCUGGGGAGUACGGCCGCAAGGUUAAAACUCAAAGGAAUUGACGGGGGCCCGCACAAGCGGUGGAGCAUGUGGUUUAAUUCGAUGCAACGCGAAGAACCUUACCUGCCCUUGACAUUGACAGAACCCUGGAGAGAUCCGGGGGUCCUUCGGGCCU
rnacentral:rRNA from 1 species